rnacentral:rRNA from 1 species
GUGUGUGAUCAUAUUAGUACGUAUGCAUUGGAUCCCAUCAGAACUUCAAAGUUAAGCGUGCUUGUGAGAGAAUGGUACUAAGACGAGCUUUGUUGUAGGAC